rnacentral:lncRNA from 1 species
GUCACUUGACCCUGUGUUUAUAUAUACAUGUACUGUGUAUAGGUUUGAUUAAGCUAAGAAAAUACAGAACUCUUUCUCCCAAGUCUCUCUCUCUCUUCUCCCUCUCUCUCCAGCAAUUCUCCAUGCCCCAGGAGCAAGAAACCCUAGGGUUUCUUGCCGCUAGGUCCUAAAAAGGAAAGAAAAGCAAGGAGGUGCUACCCCUUCCCCCUUGCAGCCGCCAACC